rnacentral:rRNA from 1 species
UGACAGUACCUGACUAAGAAGCCCCGGCUAACUACGUGCCAGCAGCCGCGGUAAUACGUAGGGGGCAAGCGUUAUCCGGAUUUACUGGGUGUAAAGGGAGCGUAGACGGCAGGGCAAGUCAGAAGUGAAAGCCCGGGGCUCAACCCCGGGACUGCUUUUGAAACUGUCUAGCUGGAGUGCAGGAGAGGUAAGCGGAAUUCCUGGUGUAGCGGUGAAAUGCGUAGAUAUUAGGAGGAACACCAGUGGCGAAGGCGGCCUGCUGGACUGUUACUGACGCUGAGGCACGAAAGCGUGGGGAGCAAACAGGAUUAGAUACCCUG